UCUCUCACACACAAUCAGUUGAGCUCGCGAUGUGGAAAAGAAAAAGUCGGGCGUGGAAGUCAAGUCAAAAUAAAUUUUACUAGAGUAAAAGAAAAAAAAAAGAAUACAAUUUGAAACUUAAUUUUAACUUUUACACAAAAGUAUUUAGUGAAAAAAGAAAAAAAAACAGUUUUUUAUGGAAAAUAUAUUUAACAUAAAUAGUUGAGUUUGUAAGAAAAUGUGUUGAAUAGAGAGAGAAAAUUUGUAAAAUUAACAACAAAUAAAAGCAAAUUUAUUAGUGAAAGCUUAAUGUCAAGAGAAAAUCAAAUUGAAACACACAGCAUCCAAUUUAUGUUAAUAAUUAUAAAAUAAAUAAAUAAGA